rnacentral:rRNA from 1 species
UACGGAGGGAGCAAGCGUUACUCGGAAUUAGUGGGCGUAAAGGGCGCGUAGGCGAUUUGGCAAGUCUUGUGUGAAAGCCCACAGCCUAACUGUGGAAGUGCACAAGAUACUGCUGAAUUUGAGUUCAGGAGAGGAAGGCAGAAUUCCCGGUGUAGCGGUGAAAUGCGUAGAUAUCGGGAGGAAUACCAGUGGCGAAGGCGGCCUUCUGGACUGACACUGACGCUGAGGCGCGAAAGCUAGGGGAGCAAACGGG